CAUGGGGUGGUCGGAGACGUGGAGGUACAGAAGGAGGCGGCCUCCUAGGAGGAAGGUGGUGCAAUCUAAGACGAGGCAGAGCAUCGAGGGGGUCACAGCCCCGGCCGGCUGCAGGGUUUUCCUAAAGAGGACCACGGCCGCCGUGCCUGCUGCGCCGGCCGAUUUCUCACAAGUCAACGGGUGACGAGAUCUCUACUGGAGUGGGGAUGGAUUGCGAUGAAGAGGGGAGCUGGCAUUCUUAUCCCUUCUCCGGGUGUAACACGCCACGAGACGAAAAUAGGCUGCGCGAGAGAGAAGGAGAUGGAGGGAGAGACAUAAGGAGAGAGGGAGGGACGGAGAGAGCGAGAUCGAGCUUACCUCGUGUCUGCAAAUACUGGGAAAGACAGCAGAAGAGAAGCAGGGCAAAUCGGGGGAGGCCAUAGGUGAGAAGACCACUCACCGGAGGAUGCCGGGAGCUCGCCAUCGCCGGCCCGUGCGCGUCUUGGUGACUCGCUUGGCGGCAGCGGCCUCCGCCGGCGGCGGCGCAGAAGUUGCCUACAAGCGAGUCACCGAGACGCCGCAGGCCUCCAUUCCUCCCCGUCGGCGACUGCUUGUUUCCCCCUCUGACCUGGUCCAAACAAUUAUGCCUUGUCGCUACAUUAGCUUCCCGAAUACUCUAACAGAUUAGGAUAGAUUUUCACGCGGACGUGGGCAAUCCAAUCUCUCCGUUGCCGCCCAAGACGUUCCGUGCACGCUUUCUGUAUAUGACGACCCAUCACACGAACGGACAGAAACCCCCAAGAGCCCCCCUCUGGUUUUAGAGCGAAAGAGAGAGUUGCAGAUAAGAACGGCCCUACCCUCGUCCCUCGUGGAAGGGCA
rnacentral:lncRNA from 1 species